CAAAUGGAACGAAAACGAAUUUCCCUCCUAGACUGAAAUUUUUCAAAAGAACUGCUGAACUUGAAAGAAACGGAGGAAAUGUAAUUGAAAAUUGAAAUUCAUUUCUAAAUUAUCCCUCCAAAUCUCCACCUACAAAUAAAUCAAGAAACCAGCUGAAACCCAAUUCAGCCUCUCAUUCAGCACAUAUGGAGUUGAAAAUUUGUUACUCCGAAAAUGAGGAUAAUAAAGAGAAUGCCCCACCAAACUCUCCCAAUGAAAACAGCCAUGAUACUCGGAUACGCCAAUGUUGUACAAAGAGGAUGUUAAGGUUGCCUCUUAGAGAUGUCACCUACUUCUACAAUUCCGUAGUCCAACUCAAGGAUUUUCAGAUGCCCUCUCCUAUUUCUGUUUCUUCCAUUACUUUGAAUAAUCGAAAACGAAAAGCUGCUGAUGAGAAGAUUGAUUCGACGCACAAGAUUCUGAGGAAACAGUUUAGGUAGAUACACUGGUCAUUCAUUAGUCCAGUUAUUAUUUUUAUUUAUUGUUUUGAGGUAUCAAGGUAUAAGGAAAAAAGAAAAGAAAAGAGGCAGAUGAAUUGGUUAUUCAUUCAAGAAUUUAGAAAUUAUCAAUUUUAUUUAUUAGAGUAGAGUUUCCUUCAAUUUUUAUUUUUUAAUGAUGGGGAAAUUUGCAAUUGUCACCCUUCGGAUGCACGUUAGGUAAAUUUUUAGGUUGAUAUAAUAGUCUACAAAUUACGCUAGUCAAGUUUGGUGUGGCAGAUUCGAUCGAAAAAGUAUUGGUAGAGGGAAUCGAAUUUGUGACCAAAGGUUUUUGUGUUCACCUACUUCAUUAAUUCGGACACCUCAUAAGUUUCCUUCAAUUUUUUGAUUGUUACGAAGUUUGAGAAUUGAUAUUUAAGUUGGGGAAAUUCGGCAAAGAUAUCUAGUAAUAAUGCAGUGG
rnacentral:lncRNA from 1 species